UAGGGAAUCUUCCACAAUGGACGCAAGUCUGAUGGAGCAACGCCGCGUGAGUGAAGAAGGCUUUCGGGUCGUAAAACUCUGUUAUUGAAGAAGAACGUGUGUGACAGUAACUGGUCAUGCAGUGACGGUAUUCAAUCAGAAAGUCACGGCUAACUACGUGCCAGCAGCCGCGGUAAUACGUAGGUGGCAAGCGUUGUCCGGAUUUAUUGGGCGUAAAGCGAGUGCAGGCGGUCUUUUAAGUCUGAUGUGAAAGCCUUCGGCUUAACCGAAGAAGGGCAUCGGAAACUGGGGAGACUUGAGUGCAGAAGAGGAGAGUGGAACUCCAUGUGUAGCGGUGAAAUGCGUAGAUAUAUGGAGGAACACCAGUGGCGAAGGCGGCUCUCUGGUCUGUAACUGACGCUGAGGCUCGAAAGCGUGGGUAGCAAACAGGAUUAGAUACCCUGGU
rnacentral:rRNA from 1 species